ACGAAGGGUGCAAGCGUUACUCGGAAUUACUGGGCGUAAAGCGUGCGUAGGUGGUGGUUUAAGUCUGCUGUGAAAGCCCUGGGCUCAACCUGGGAAUUGCAGUGGAUACUGGGUCACUAGAGUGUGGUAGAGGGUGGCGGAAUUCCCGGUGUAGCAGUGAAAUGCGUAGAGAUCGGGAGGAACAUCUGUGGCGAAGGCGGCCACCUAGGCCAACACUGACACUGAGGCACGAAAGCGUGGGGAGCAAACAGGA
rnacentral:rRNA from 1 species